rnacentral:rRNA from 1 species
GGUCAAGUCAUCAUGGCCCCUAUGUCCAGGGCUACACACGUGCUACAAUGGCAGGUACAAAGUGACGCGAAGCUGUGAAGUUAGAGCGAAGCACGAAAGCCUGCCGUAGUUCGGAUUGAAGUCUGAAACCCGACUUCAUGAAGUUGGAAUCGCUAGUAAUCGCGCAUCAGCAUGGCGCGGUGAAUACGUUCCCGGGCCUU